rnacentral:rRNA from 1 species
GACAGAGGGGGCAAGCGUUGCUCGGAAUUACUGGGCGUAAAGGGCUCGUAGGCGGCCAACUAAGUCGGAUGUGAAAUCCCCAGGCUCAACCUGGGAACUGCAUCCGAUACUGGAUGGCUUGAAUCCGGGAGAGGGAUGCAGAAUUCCAGGUGUAGCGGUGAAAUGCGUAGAUAUCUGGAGGAAUACCGGUGGCGAAGGCGGCAUCCUGGACCGGCAUUGACGCUGAGGAGCGAAAGCCAGGGGAGCAAACGGG